rnacentral:rRNA from 1 species
AGUGAACGCUGGCGGUAGGCCUAACACAUGCAAGUCGAACGGCAGCACAGGAGAGCUUGCUCUCUGGGUGGCGAGUGGCGGACGGGUGAGGAAUACAUCGGAAUCUACUCUGUCGUGGGGGAUAACGUAGGGAAACUUACGCUAAUACCGCAUACGACCUACGGGUGAAAGCAGGGGACCUUCGGGCCUUGCGCGAUUGAAUGAGCCGAUGUCGGAUUAGCUAGUUGGCGGGGUAAAGGCCCACCAAGGCGACGAUCCGUAGCUGGUCUGAGAGGAUGAUCCGCCACACUGGAACUGUGACACGGUCCAGACGCCUACGGGAGGCAGCAGGGGGGAAUAUUGGACAAUGGGCGCAAGCCUGAUCCAGCCAUACCGCGUGGGUGAAGAAGGCCUUCGGGUUGUAAAGCCCUUUUGUUGGGAAAGAAAUCCAGCUGGCUAAUACCCGGUUGGGAUGACGGUACCCAAAGAAUAAGCACCGGCUAACUUCGUGCCAGCCGCCGCCGUAA